UGUGCGAGCCUUUUGGUCACUACAACUCCCUGAUGGGUCUGCAUUCUUCACAAUCCAUGGAUGUUUCAUUAUGUCAUCAAGAGAAAGUCUCUUGUUUGAAUCCUUCACCAAAAGCUUGCAAAUGAGAUCCUUAGCAUCUGCAGAAACAUAAGGAGUUGAGGGGAACGACAAAUCCACUUUAACUAUCCUGCUCAAUGUAUCAUCCUGUUCUGCUGCUUCAAAAGGUGGUGACCCAUAUAAGAACUCAUAGCACAAGAUUCCUAAAGUCCAGUUGUCAACAGCAUGGUCAUGAGCCUUUUUCUCUAUCAUUUCAGGUGCCAGGUAAUCAAUUGUACCACAAAGUGUGUGUCGUUUAGCAUUUGAUCUAACCGCCCAUCCAAAAUCUGCAAUUUUAAGUCGGCCCUGGAAAAGGGGGAGUAAAUUCUCUGGCUUGAUGUCCCGAUGGAUAACUUGCUUCUUAUGACAGUAUGCUAGUGCACCGGCAAGGCUGGCAACAUACUAAAAAUAAACAAGCGGUGCGCUCAGAGAAGCGGCGGACGGUGCGGAGGAGCUUGUAAAGCUCCCCACGGGCGGCGUACUCGAGCACGAGGACGACGCGCUCGGCGUCGUGGAACCAGGCGAAGAGACGGAGCACGUUGGGGUGGUCGAGGCCGUGCUGGAUCUCGAUCUCCCGCCGCAGGUGCGCGUGGAACCUGUACUUGUCCAGCUUCGCCUUGAAUGUCACCUUGAGCGCCACCACCGUACCUGCUUCUCGCGGGCGAGGUAGACCUUCCCGAACUUGCCCUCGCCGAUGUACUUGCCGAUCUCGAAGUCGUCCAUGCUCCACUCCGGCUUCUCCAUCGGACGCCGCGGCGGUGGCCGGUGGAGGCGCAAGAGAGGCGAGGGCGGCGGCGCGAAGGCGGCGGAGGAAUCGGAGGAGAGAAGC
rnacentral:sRNA from 1 species